AUGAGACUGCUGGGUCUCCUCUUGUGCCUGGUGACAGCCCCCCAGGCUGUCUGGUCCCAGGUGCAGCUGCAGGAGUCAGGCCCAGGACUGGUGAAGCCCUUCCAGACCCUCUCCCUCACCUGCACUGUCUCUGGUGACUCCAUCACCAGUGGUAAUGCAUGGAGCUGGAUCCAGCAGCCCCCAGGGAAGGGGCUGGAGUGGAUCGGGAGCAUAGAUUAUAGUGGAAGCACUUACUACAGACCAUCAUUCAAGAGCCGAACCUCCAUUACCAGGGACACUUCCAAGAACCAGUUCUCCCUGCAGCUGAGCUCCGUGAACACCAAGGAUUCAGCUGUGUACUACUGUGCAUCAGGUGGAAUAUACACAGUGAGGGGAAGUCAGCAAGAGCCCAGACACAAACCUCCCUGCAGGAAACAGGAAUAG